UGCCAGCUCUCCGAGUGGUGUGGAUGUUUAUUGGGCCUAAAGCAUCCGUAGCUGGCUGGGCAAGUCCCCUGUUAAAUCCACCGAUUUAAUCGUUGGAGUGCGGGGGAUACUGUUCGGCUAGGGGACGGGAGAGGCAGACGGUAUUUUCGGGGUAGGGGUGAAAUCCUAUAAUCCCGGGAAGACCACCAGUGGCGAAGGCUGUCUGCUAGAACGCGCCCGACGGUGAGGGAUGAAAGCUGGGGGGAGCGAACCGGAUUAGAUACCCGGGUAGUCCCAGCUGUAAACGAUGCAGGCUAGGUGUUUGGGCGGCCACGUGCCGCUCUAGUGCCGCAGGGAAGCCGUUAAGCCUGCCGCCUGGGGAGUACGGCCGCAAGGCUGAAACUUAAGGAAUUGGCGGGGAGCACAGCAACGGGUGGAGCGUGCGGUUU
rnacentral:rRNA from 1 species